rnacentral:rRNA from 1 species
UACGGAGGGAGCUAGCGUUGUUCGGAAUUACUGGGCGUAAAGCGCACGUAGGCGGCUUUGUAAGUUAGAGGUGAAAGCCCGGGGCUCAACUCCGGAACUGCCUUUAAGACUGCAUCGCUUGAAUCCGGGAGAGGUGAGUGGAAUUCCGAGUGUAGAGGUGAAAUUCGUAGAUAUUCGGAAGAACACCAGUGGCGAAGGCGGCUCACUGGACCGGUAUUGACGCCGAGGUGCGAAAGCGUGGGGAGCAAACAGG